GCCAGCCUACGGGAGGCAGCAGUAGGGAAUCUUCGGCAAUGGGGGCAACCCUGACCGAGCAACGCCGCGUGAGUGAAGAAGGUUUUCGGAUCGUAAAGCUCUGUUGUAAGAGAAGAACGUGUGUGAGAGUGGAAAGUUCACACAGUGACGGUAACUUACCAGAAAGGGACGGCUAACUACGUGCCAGCAGCCGC
rnacentral:rRNA from 1 species